rnacentral:snoRNA from 12 species
CCGACGCGGACGUCCAGAGAGUUAUGCUCCUGGUUCUGUCCGGGUGGCGUAUGGGAGCGUAGCUCUGAGCUGAGACGUACAUUCCCGUUCCACAGCGUCGGACAGAAAGCUCCGCCCCCGGCCUCAGCUGGUGAGGGCGGGCGUCCUGCAUAUUCCUACACCUUCCCAGAGUCCUUUGGGCCGUUACUGGGGAGCUAAACCAUGCAGUGCACAGAU